rnacentral:pre_miRNA from 1 species
UAUCAGGCUUAGACUGGGUUCCCUGGUCACUUUAUUCAUAAAGUGACCAGGGAACCCAGCCUAAGCCUGAUAAAC